rnacentral:rRNA from 1 species
UACGUAGGGGGCAAGCGUUGUCCGGAAUUAUUGGGCGUAAAGAGCUCGUAGGCGGCUUGUUGCGUCAGCUGUGAAAACCCGCAGCUCAACUGUGGGCUUGCAGCUGAUACGGGCAGGCUUGAGUUCGGUAGGGGAGACUGGAAUUCCUGGUGUAGCGGUGAAAUGCGCAGAUAUCAGGAGGAACACCGAUGGCGAAGGCAGGUCUCUGGGCCACUACUGACGCUGAGAAGCGAAAGCAUGGGGAGCGAACAGG